rnacentral:rRNA from 1 species
ACUUAGUGGCGGACGGGUGAGUAACGCGUGGGUAACCUGCCCUGUACAGGGGGACAACAGCUGGAAACGGCUGCUAAUACCGCAUAAGCCCUUAGCACUGCAUGGUGCAUAGGGAAAAGGAGUAAUCCGGUACAGGAUGGACCCGCGUCUGAUUAGCCAGUUGGCAGGGUAACGGCCUACCAAAGCAACGAUCAGUAGCCGAUCUGAGAGGAUGUACGGCCACAUUGGGACUGAGACACGGCCCAGACUCCUACGGGAGGCAGCAGUGGGGAAUAUUGCACAAUGGAGGAAACUCUGAUGCAGCGACGCCGCGUGAGUGAAGAAGUAUUUCGGUAUGUAAAGCUCUAUCAGCAGGGAAGAAAAUGACGGUACCUGACUAAGAAGCACCGGCUAAAUACGUGCCAGCAGCCGCGGUAAUACGUAUGGUGCAAGCGUUAUCCGGAUUUACUGGGUGUAAAGGGAGCGUAGGUGGCAAGGCAAGCCAGAAGUGAAAACCCGGGGCUCAACCGCGGGAUUGCUUUUGGAACUGUCAUGCUAGAGUGCAGGAGGGGUGAGCGGAAUUCCUAGUGUAGCGGUGAAAUGCGUAGAUAUUAGGAGGAACACCGGAGGCGAAGGCGGCUC